rnacentral:rRNA from 1 species
UACGAAGGGGGCUAGCGUUGCUCGGAAUCACUGGGCGUAAAGGGUGCGUAGGCGGGUUUUUAAGUCAGGGGGGAAAUCCUGGAGCUCAACUCCAGAACUGCCUUUGAUACUGAAGAUCUUGAGUCCGGGAGAGGUGAGUGGAACUGCGAGUGUAGAGGUGAAAUUCGUAGAUAUUCGCAAGAACACCAGUGGCGAAGGCGGCUCACUGGCCCGGUACUGACGCUGAGGCGCGAAAGCCAGGGGAGCAAACGGG